rnacentral:rRNA from 1 species
AAUGAACGCUGGCGGCAUGCCUAACACAUGCAAGUCGAACGAAGGCUUCGGCCUUAGUGGCGCACGGGUGCGUAACGCGUGGGAAUCUGCCCUUGGGUUCGGAAUAACAGUUAGAAAUGACUGCUAAUACCGGAUGAUGUCGUGAGACCAAAGAUUUAUCGCCCAAGGAUGAGCCCGCGUAGGAUUAGCUAGUUGGUGGGGUAAAGGCCCACCAAGGCGACGAUCCUUAGCUGGUCUGAGAGGAUGAUCAGCCACACUGGGACUGAGACACGGCCCAGACUCCUACGGGAGGCAGCAGUGGGGAAUAUUGGACAAUGGGCGAAAGCCUGAUCCAGCAAUGCCGCGUGAGUGAUGAAGGCCUUAGGGUUGUAAAGCUCUUUUACCCGGGAUGAUAAUGACAGUACCGGGGGAAUAAGCUCCGGCUAACUUCGUGCCAGCCGCCGCCGUAACAC